CACGACUUCGCUCCCGCUCCCGCCUCGGUUCACGUUUACCUCCGAACCGCAUGCACAACUGGAGGAGAACUUCUGCCAGACCCAGAUGGGGAUAGCCAUGGGCCCUGGUGCUACACGAUGGACCCAAGGACCCCAUUCGACUACUGUGCCCUGCGACGCUGCGCUGAUGACCAGCCGCCAUCAAUCCUGGACCCCCCCAGGUUAGGAGUUGGGCCAGUUAUGGGUCAGGCCCUUUAGCCCACGACAUCCACACAGUCUGGGUUUCAUCCAGCCCACCCCAUCCUACAGACCAGGUGCAGUUUGAGAAGUGUGGCAAGAGGGUGGAUCGGCUGGAUCAGCGUUGUUCCAAGCUGCGCGUGGCUGGGGGCCAUCCGGGCAACUCACCCUGGACAGUCAGCUUGCGGAAUUGGUGAGGCACAACUGCCUGUCUCCCACAGAGAGGAGCUGAGGUUGUGUCCUCUGUGGUUAUGCCACUGGGGGCUGGGAAUCUAUCCCUGCCCCCAGAGGUCCUAGCCAGAAGAUGGCAGGUCUAGCAUCUGUCCCAGGAGUCUGUUCCCUGUCCUAAUUCCCCACUCCUCUAGGCAGGGCCAGCAUUUCUGCGGGGGGUCUCUAGUGAAGGAGCAGUGGAUACUGACUGCCCGGCAGUGCUUCUCCUCCUGCCAUAUGCCUCUCACGGGCUAUGAGGUAUGGUUGGGCACCCUGUUCCAGAACCCACAACAUGGAGAGCCAGGCCUACAGCGGGUCCCAGUAGCCAAGAUGCUGUGUGGGCCCUCAGGCUCUCAGCUUGUCCUGCUCAAGCUGGAGAGGUAUGUGGACAACCUGGGAGGGUGUGAGGUGGGGCUGAGCCUUGUGGCCUCAGACCCUGAGUGCCCCCAUUCUUGCUAAAGAUCUGUGACCCUGAACCAGCGUGUGGCCCUGAUCUGCCUGCCGCCUGAAUGAUAUGUGGUGCCUCCAGGGACCAAGUGUGAGAUUGCAGGCCGGGGUGAGACCAAAGGUAAGAGCAUAGUGCACAGGACUGCUGGUGGCCAGGAGGCCCAGCCCUGGAUCUUCCUCCAGGACCGUCUCCUUCUCCCCAUUCCCCUCACUGCAGGUACGGGUAAUGACACAGUCCUAAAUGUGGCCUUGCUGAAUGUCAUCUCCAACCAGGAGUGUAACAUCAAGCACCGAGGACAUGUGCGGGAGAGCGAGAUGUGCACUGAGGGACUGUUGGCCCCUGUGGGGGCCUGUGAGGGUGACUACGGGGGCCCACUUGCCUGCUUUACCCACAACUGCUGGGUCCUGAAAGGAAUUAGAAUCCCCAACCGAGUAUGCGCAAGGUCGCGCUGGCCAGCCGUCUUCACGCGUGUCUCUGUGUUUGUGGACUGGAUUCACAAGGUCAUGAGACUGGGUUAGGCCCAGCCUUGACGCCAUAUGCUUUGGGGAGGACAAAACUUGUAAGUACAGUCAAGGACAAGACUUGUACUCAAGGCUGAGA
rnacentral:lncRNA from 1 species